CGGCGGCCUUUGCGGGAACAAGAUGGCAGCCCUCAUACCUCAAGGGUUCUCUUGUUUAUCGAGGGUUUUGGGCUGGUGGUCUCGGCAGCCAGUUCUGGUGACUCAGUCCGCAGCUAUAGUUCCAGUAAGAACUAAAAAACGUUUCACAUCUCCUAUUUAUCAACCUAAAUUUAAAACAGAAAAGGAGUUUAUGCAACAUGCCCGGAAAGCAGGAUUGGUUAUUCCUCCAGAAAAAUCGGACCGUUCCAUACAUCUGGCCUGUACAGCUGGUAUAUUUGAUGCCUAUGUUCCUCCUGAGGGUGAUGCACGCAUAUCAUCUCUUUCAAAGGAGAGAUGAUAGAGAGAACUGAUAGAGAGAACUGAACGAAUGAAGAAGACUAUGGCAUCACAAGUGUCAUGGAGUCUUGCUCUGUUACCCAGGCUGGAGUGCAGUGGCUCCAUCUCGGCCCACUGCAGCCUCUGCCUCCCAGGUUCAAGUGAUUCUCCUGCCUCAGCCUCCCGAGUAGCUGAGACUACAGAAUCCGGAGGAUAAAAGACUAUGAUGCCAACUUUAAAAUAAAGGACUUCCCUGAAAAAGCUAAGGAUAUCUUUAUUGAAGCUCACCUUUGUCUAAAUAAGUUGGGCCCAUGAGAUGUGUGCUCUGUAUAUUCCGGAGGUACAAUUUGCCAGUGUUUCCACAAUGGAACCAAUUGUUUUACAGUCUGUUCCACAUGAUCAUUGUAAUAAGGUAUCAAGAGUCUGGUAAAUUUGAAUUAAUUAUUAUUUUGCAUAAUAUUCAUUACAAUGUAUCAUACAUUCUUUUUUAAAAAACAGUCCUAUAUUAGAAUGUUACUUGUCCCCCCCCUCAAGUUAUUUGUACCCCAAGAUACGGUUUUUAUUGUUGGCCUUAAAAAAAAAACUUAAUGUUUGCUUUUUUCCUGUAUGUUUUUCUUCAUUUAGUAUGUUAUUGUUUUAUUCUCCUCUGCAUUUUAGGUUUCACCAUUACCCAAUGUGCCUUUAAAUACAGUUUUACCACUUAAUUGAAGGUACACAUUCCAACUGUGGAAGAAAUUGCAGCCAGCUUUAAGAUUUUAAAUGUUUUUGUGCAAAAAAACUUUUUAUUAUGUAAUUAAUAUUUAUUUUAUUUUAUUUUAUUUUACUUUUUAUUUAUUUAUUUUUUUUGAGACAGAGUCUCACUCUGUCACCCAGGCUGGAAUGCAGUGGCAUGAUCUCGGCUCACAGCAACCUCUGCCUCCCGGGUUCAAGCAAUUCUCCUGCCUUAGCCUCCUGAGUAGCUGGGAUUACAGGUGCCCACUAUCACGCCCGACUAAUUUUUCUAUUUUUUAGUAGAGACGGGGUUUUUUCUGUGUAUUUUUGCUUAUAGUAUAUACUUACGAAAAAGUUGAAUCGUUUUGCUUAUAUUUUUUGUUUGCUUUUGAAAAUUACACAGCAUCUUUUGUGUGUCAAUAAAUUGUGUUUCUGCUGUAUUUUUAAUAGAUACUUGGUCUGUAAUACAGAAUAUCAUGAGAUUCAACAAACUGUAAAUUUAAUUAAGCAACCCUUUGUGGUUGAAGGGCCUAGUUUGGUGUCUGGCAUUUAGUAUACACUGCUAGCAUCUGUGUAAAAGUGUGUGAACAUUUUGGAAGCUUCAAGAAAUACAUUGUGUGAAAUUGUCCUCUAGAACUUACACUGUAUUAGCUGUAUGUGAGAUUGCUCAUAACUCUAUAUUUUGUUAGGUACACUGUGUUACCCUUAAAAAAAUCUUUGCUAUUCUUUCUAGUAAAAAAAAUAUU
rnacentral:lncRNA from 1 species